GAUGAACGCUGGCGGCGUGCUUAAUACAUGCAAGUCGAACGGAAAGGCCCUGCUCUUGUGGGGUGCUCGAGUGGCGAACGGGUGAGUAACACGCGUGUAUCCUGCACCUGUCUUUGUGAUAUCUUCAGGAAACUCGGGCUAAUAUCGGAUAGGAGCUCCUGCUGCAUGGUGGUGGUUGGAAAGUUACGGCGGUAGGGGAUGGACUCGAGGCUUAUCAGCUUGUUGGUGUAGUAGUGGCUUACCAGGGCUAUGACGGGUAGCCGGCCUGAGAGGGUGACCAGCCACAUUGGGACUGAGAUACGGCCCAGACUGCUACGGGAGGCAGCGGUGGGGAGUCUUGCGCAGUGGGGGGAAGCCAGAUGCAGCGACGCCGCGUGCGGGAUGACGGGCUUCGAGUUGUGAACCACUUUCGCCUGUGACGAGGCGUGAGUGACGGUAAUGGGUAAAGAAGCACCGGCUAACUACGUG
rnacentral:rRNA from 1 species